rnacentral:rRNA from 1 species
AACGAACGCUGGCGGCGUGUCUUAAGCAUGCAAGUCGUGCGGCAAGGGUAGCAAUACCCCUAGAGCGGCGGACUGGUGAGUAACGCGUGGGUGAUCUACCUUUGGGAUGGGGAUAGCCACUAGAAAUAGUGGGUAAUACCGAAUACGUUCGUCGGGCUUUGGCCUGACGAGGAAAGGCGCUUCGGCGCCACCCGAAGAUGAGCCCGCGUCCCAUUAGCUAGUUGGUGAGGUAAGAGCCCACCAAGGCGAUGAUGGGUAGGCGGCCUGAGAGGGUGAUCGGCCACACUGGAACUGAGACACGGUCCAGACUCCUACGGGAGGCAGCAGUGGGGAAUAUUGCACAAUGGGCGAAAGCCUGAUGCAGCGACGCCGCGUGAGCGAAGAAGGCCUUCGGGUCGUAAAGCUCUGUCCUAUGGGAAGAUAAUGACGGUACCAUAGGAGGAAGCCCCGGCUAACUACGUG